CGCCGCGACCUCCCAAUACGGAUCUCGAUCCACUUCUUGCACCACCGCACUCUCAAAUCUAGCAUAUCUGGUGGAGGGAGGAUCGAUGGAAACUGAGCUGCCGGGGGAAUCUUGGAAGGUUCUCCCGGACCAUUUCGGGUAUUCUUCUCGUCCACCAUCGUCUCAUCAAAUCAUCCAUCCAUUGUUGUCGCUGCUGCUGCUGUUUUAGUUAAGGUUUCCUUUUCCUCCCCUGUUGCUGUGAUGUUCGUUGCUACUUCCUGUUACGGCCUUGUAAUAGUAGCAAAAGCUGUGUGCACAAAAAGGAUUUUGUACCGCAAGAUUGGUCGAAUAUAGACACGAUAUCCAUUCCGCCAUUGCCUCCCACCGCUGCAAAGGAAAUUUCAUCUGUACAUGUAGCAAACAAGCAGUGCCAUCACAUGAUGAUAUGGCUCCCAUCUUGCCAGGGACAUCUUCCAUUUAUUUUAUCUGUGUUUGCUUAUUAUACUAGUUGCAAGUCGCCGUGGCUCGAUGGAAUUAUUGGAUUGGAUUCUAAAAAUGCUGGUUGGAUAGAGGGGAAUCUCGAAAUAGGAAUCGAAGCAACUUUGUUUUGUUUCUUUCAGCGUUGUAAAGUAAUGAGGGAAAGGUGUUUCCUGAACCUCCUCCUCCUUUUCUGUAUCCUGUUCUUGUUUGCCUUUUCUUCACUCAGCUAAAGAUGGUUUUUGUUUUGGCAACUGGCAUGCGCAUCAGGAUUUCAAUUCAUGUUUACUUUUGUUCCACUUGAUGAAAAUGGACGUCUGCAAUGAAUUUCCUUUGUGAUUAGUUUAGUCAGAGUGAGGGUAAACCUUUCUGAUUAGUUUAAUCAGCCAGGAUAAACCUUAGCAAUCAGUUCAAUCAGGGUGAGGAAAAACCUCAGUGAUUUUAGUAUGAAAACACCUCACAAUCUUCAGUACAGAAAUGCAAGAAGUAUAUGCAGUGAAGAUACAAGCCCACAGCUCAAAACCCAAACCCAAAAGAUACAAGCCCACUUGUGAGCAAAUCACUCGUGUAUUUUGUACUUCUGCUCGGUGCAGUAGUAGUAGCUCAAACAGGCAGUUGCUCUACUGAUCCAGGAGCUUGAGCAGCACUUGGGGCUGCAGCGUCAGGAACUCGGGAAAGGUGUUCCUGAACCUCCUCCUCUGCCUUUUCUGUUUCCAGUUCCGGUUUGCUUUUUCUUCAUCCGGCUAAAGAUGGUUUUUGUUUUGGCAACUGGCAUGCACAUCAUGGAUAUCAAUUCAUGUUUACUUUUGUUCCACUUGUGAAAAUGGACGCCACGACUCAGGAGUGGAUUUCUUUU
rnacentral:lncRNA from 1 species